UACGGAGGGGGGUAGCGUUGUUCGGAAUUACUGGGCGUAAAGCGCACGUAGGCGGAACAGAAAGUCAGAGGUGAAAUCCCAGGGCUCAACCUGGGAACUGCCUCUGAUACUGCUGGUCUUGAGGUCGAGAGAGGUGGGUGGAAUUCCGAGUGUAGAGGUGAAAUUCGUAGAUAUUAGGAGGAUCACCCGUGGCGAAGGCGGCCCACUGGGUCAGAACUGACGCUGAGGUGCGAAAUCGUGGGGAGCAAACAGG
rnacentral:rRNA from 1 species